rnacentral:rRNA from 1 species
UACGUAGGGUGCGAGCGUUGCCCGGAUUUACUGGGCGUAAAGGGCGCGUAGGCGGCUCGGCACGUCCGUUGUGAAAUCGCCCGGCUCAACUGGGCGGGGUCGGCGGAUACGGCCGAGCUGGAGCAAGCUAGGGGGUAAUGGAAUUCCCGGUGUAGUGGUGGAAUGCGUAGAUAUCGGGAGGAACACCAGUGGCGAAGGCGGUUACCUGGAGCUUUGCUGACGCUGAUGCGCGAAAGCGUGGGGAGCGAUCCGG